rnacentral:piRNA from 1 species
UGCCUAACUGAGAGAAGAAACCUUCUAGAUA